rnacentral:tRNA from 1 species
GUAGGCAUAGCUCAGUGGUAGAGUGUUUGCCUAGCAUGCAGGAGGCCCUGGGUUUAAGCUCUAAUUCCUAUA